rnacentral:rRNA from 1 species
UACGUAGGGGGCAAGCGUUGUCCGGAUUUAUUGGGCGUAAAGAGCGUGUAGGCGGCUUUACAGGUCCGUUGUGAAAACUCGAGGCUCAACCUCGAGACGCCGGUGGAAACCGUAAGGCUAGAGUCCGGAAGAGGAGAGUGGAAUUCCUGGUGUAGCGGUGAAAUGCGCAGAUAUCAGGAAGAACACCCGUGGCGAAGGCGGCAUCCUGGACCAAUUCUGACGCUGAGGAGCGAAAGCCAUGGGAGCAAACGGG